UCACAGCCAUAUCACCCAGGAGCCGAAGACCGAUUACUCUAUUAAGCUAAGCAGGGCUGAGCCUGGUCAGUACCUGGAUGGGAGAUUACAUGGGAAAACUAGGUUGCUGUUUGAA
ensembl:rRNA 5S_rRNA 5S ribosomal RNA